rnacentral:rRNA from 1 species
GACGAACGCUGGCGGCGUGCUUAACACAUGCAAGUCGAACGGAAAGGCCCCUUUGGGGGUACUCGAGUGGCGAACGGGUGAGUAACACGUGAGUAACCUGCCCUUGACUUCGGGAUAACUUCAGGAAACUGGGGCUAAUACCGGAUAGGAAUCCUUGCUGCAUGGUGGGGGUUGGAAAGCUUCGGCGGUUUUGGAUGGACUCGCGGCUUAUCAGCUUGUUGGUGGGGUAGUGGCUUACCAAGGCUUUGACGGGUAGCCGGCCUGAGAGGGCGACCGGCCACAUUGGGACUGAGAUACGGCCCAGACUCCUACGGGAGGCAUCAGUGGGGAAUAUUGCACAAUGGGCGGAAGCCUGAUGCAGCAACGCCGCGUGCGGGAUGACGGCCUUCGGGUUGUAAACCGCUUUCAGCAGGGGCGAAGCUUGUGGUGACGGUACCUGCAGAAGAAGCACCGGCUAACUACGUG